CAACAACUGUUCCUUGACUAACCUGAGAGCCCGCGAAGUGAUUUUUAUCUCCGACAGCGUUCUUUCCAGACGAAAAUUGUGAGAAUGGCUGGAGAAUCAGAACCACCCCUACCUCCUCCUCCUCCACCUCCACCUCUACCACCUCCACCACCUGUAACAAUAAAACAGCCAUGCUCUACACUAGCACCUUCACCUUCUGCAGAUGAGGACCCAGUGGCUGGCAUUGCUUUCCGUGCAUCCAGAGCCACAUGGUACCACCGCCUGGUGCUGCAUCUCAACAAGGCUCCUUCGCUGCUCCAGGACGGACCCACCUGCGGCCUGGCUGCGGCCGUCAUGGCGCUGCGCCAGCUCGGUGUUCAUGACGUCACGGUCGGUCAGCUGCUGGAGGAGGCGCGGUCCCGCCAGAUGAGCAGCCAGGGCGAGAUGUUCUCUGCAC